rnacentral:rRNA from 1 species
UACGUAGGGUGCGAGCGUUGUCCGGAAUUCUUGGGCGUAAAGAGCUCGUAGGCGGUCUGUCGCGUCGGUCGUGAAAACUUGGGGCUUAACCCUGAGCUUGCGGUCGAUACGGGCAUGACUGGAGUUCGGUAGGGGAGACUGGAAUUCCUGGUGUAGCGGUGAAAUGCGCAGAUAUCAGGAGGAACACCGGUGGCGAAGGCGGGUCUCUGGGCCGAUACUGACGCUGAGGAGCGAAAGCGUGGGGAGCGAACAGG